rnacentral:lncRNA from 1 species
CACUUGAUCUGCCACCUCAAUUAAUGAGGGAGAUCAAGUGGUCCACAUUUUUUCUGAUUAUUUGAAUUUUAUUUUAAUUGCUUUAUUUUCAUUAAUUCAUAUUAAUUUUAAUAUUCAUCCAAAAAAUAUGAGAGUUUCACCAAAAAAUUUCAAAUAUUUUCCUCUUUCAUAUUCUGAAUUAAAAUUAUUUUUUGGAUCAUUAUUAAUAUUUUUCAUGAUUUAAUUGAUUUUUCAUUUGUUUUUA